CAAGUCGAGCGCCCCGCAAGGGGAGCGGCAGACGGGAGAGUAACACGUGGGAACGUACCCUUCGGUUCGGAACAACCCAGGGAAACUUGGGCUAAUACCGGAUACGUCCGAAAGGAGAAAGAUUCAUCGCCGAGGGAUCGGCCCGCGUCUGAUUAGCUUGUUGGUGAGGUAACGGCUCACCAAGGCGACGAUCAGUAGCUGGUCUGAGAGGAUGAUCAGCCUCACUGAGACUGAGACACGGCCCAGACUCCUACGGGAGGCAGCAGUGGGGAAUAUUGGACAAUGGGCGCAAGCCUGAUCCAGCCAUGCCGCGUGGGUGAUGAAGGCCCUAGGGUUGUAAAGCCCUUUCGGCGGGGAAGAUAAUGACGGUACCCGCAGAAGAAGCCCCGGCUAACUUCGUGCCAGCAGCCGCGGUAAUACGAAGGGGGCUAGCGUUGCUCGGAAUCACUGGGCGUAAAGCGCACGUAGGCGGCUUUUUAAGUCAGGGGUGAAAUCCUGGAGCUCAACUCCAGAACUGCCUUUGAUACUGGGAAGCUUGAGUCCGGGAGAGGUGAGUGGAACUGCGAGUGUAGAGGUGAAAUUCGUAGAUAUUCGCAAGAACACCAGUGGCGAAGGCGGCUCACUGGCCCGGUACUGACGCUGAGGUGCGAAAGCGUGGGGAGCAAACAGGAUUAGAUACCCUGGUAGUCCACGCCGUAAACGAUGGAUGCUAGCCGUUGGCGGGUUUACCCGUCAGUGGCGCAGCUAACGCAUUAAGCAUCCCGCCUGGGGAGUACGGUCGCAAGAUUAAAACUCAAAGGGAUUGACGGGGGCCCGCACAAGCGGUGGAGCAUGUGGUUCAAUUCGAAGCAACGCGCAGAACCUUACCA
rnacentral:rRNA from 1 species